AUGCCAUUAAGUGUAUUAUUGGUUUAAUAUUACAGAAGAUUCUCUCUCUCUCUUUCACUCUCCCUAAUGUAUUACAGAGAAAGAGUCAGUGCGGAAGUGGAACUAAGGAAGAACGUAAAGAGAUGCAGCUGGAGCAGUAAACAGGGUCCAGAUCACAAAGGCCUCAUAAAACCAGCGUUGCAUGUGCCUGCUAUUUUCCAUCAGUGAGUAGGACAGAAAAGUUAGAAAGGAGAGGAAAACCAGUGACAGGCAAAGAAAUCAGCCCAGCAGCAAUAAUGUGGCCCACAUCAUCUUCAGUUAUUUUUGAGGAUCAUAUUUUUAAAAAGGUGUUCCUUAAAAAAAAAAUCGACUUGGCAUCAACUAGAUUAGAGGUUGCCUUCUGGUGGAUUUUGGUAAACAAUACUUUGAAGUUACAAUCCACCUCUUAAUGAGCUAGAUGCGACCUUGUGGUUCCUAAAACCGUUUGCCUAAAUUAAAA
rnacentral:lncRNA from 1 species